CCCUUAGAUGUUCUGGGCCGCACGCGCGCUACACUGAUGCAUUCAACGAGUUUCUUCCUGGUCCGAGAGGAAUGGGUAACCUUUUGAAAGUGCAUCGUGAUAGGGAUAGACUAUUGCAAUUAUUGGUCUUCAACGAGGAAUUCCUAGUAGACGUAGUUCAUCAGACUGCAUCGAUUACGUCCCUGCCCUUUGUACACACCGCCCGUCACUCCUACCGAUUGAAUGCUCAGGUGAGCCAUUCGGACUUUCAUCAUGCUGGUUUCCAGUUUCGAUGAAGGAAAGUCUUGCGAACCUUAUCAUUUAGAGGAAGGAGAAGUCGUAACA
rnacentral:rRNA from 1 species